rnacentral:rRNA from 1 species
UACGUAGGCAGCGAGCGUUGUUCGGAAUUAUUGGGCGUAAAGAGCGUGUAGGCGGCCAAGCAGGUCCGCUGUGAAAACUCGAGGCUCAACCUCGAGACGUCGGUGGAAACCGUUUGGCUAGAGUCCGGAAGAGGAGAGUGGAAUUCCCGGUGUAGCGGUGAAAUGCGCAGAUAUCGGGAAGAACACCCGUGGCGAAGGCGGCUCUCUGGGACGGUACUGACGCUGAGACACGAAAGCGUGGGGAGCGAACAGG